AACACGUGGGCAACCUGCCUGUAAGACUGGGAUAACUUCGGGAAACCGAAGCUAAUACCGGAUAGGAUCUUCUCCUUCAUGGGAGAUGAUUGAAAGAUGGUUUCGGCUAUCACUUACAGAUGGGCCCGCGGUGCAUUAGCUAGUUGGUGAGGUAACGGCUCACCAAGGCAACGAUGCAUAGCCGACCUGAGAGGGUGAUCGGCCACACUGGGACUGAGACACGGCCCAGACUCCUACGGGAGGCAGCAGUAGGGAAUCUUCCGCAAUGGACGAAAGUCUGACGGAGCAACGCCGCGUGAGUGAUGAAGGCUUUCGGGUCGUAAAACUCUGUUGUUAGGGAAGAACAAGUACGAGAGUAACUGCUCGUACCUUGACGGUACCUAACCAGAAAGCCACGGCUAACUACGUGCCAGCAGCCGCGGUAAUACGUAGGUGGCAAGCGUUAUCCGGAAUUAUUGGGCGUAAAGCGCGCGCAGGCGGUUUCUUAAGUCUGAUGUGAAAGCCCACGGCUCAACCGUGGAGGGUCAUUGGAAACUGGGGAACUUGAGUGCAGAAGAGAAAAGCGGAAUUCCACGUGUAGCGGUGAAAUGCGUAGAGAUGUGGAGGAACACCAGUGGCGAAGGCGGCUUUUUGGUCUGUAACUGACGCUGAGGCGCGAAAGCGUGGGGAGCAAACAGGAUUAGAUACCCUGAUAGUCCACGCCGUAAACGAUGAGUGCUAAGUGUUA
rnacentral:rRNA from 1 species